GAACUCUUCAGAAAGCAUGGAGAUGGCAUCGUUUUAAUUUACUACGGCUUACAAUUCCUUCCUUGUCUCUAUUUACCGAGUUUAUGCAGCGAAACAACUUGUACAAAUAAUCAGCAAUAAGGUAUCAAGAGCUGCCAGUUUCUAACACCAUAAAUACUUUGUCAAGAGAAUGAUCUGAUCCUCAAGACAUGCGAGCCAAAAUCGGCUAUAAAAACUACGGUCAACUAUACGACCGCUGCAGCUAAAAAGACUAAUUUAGAACGAGGAUGUCACGCCAUGCAUUAUAUAUCGUAAUGUUUAUAAAGAGAAGUCUUUUAAACACGAGACAAAGACAUCGAAACACCAGCCAACAACAGGUGGAGACAAAACAGGUGGGAAAGUCUUUUAAAGCCACUCCUACGUAACCAAAAAAACUGUAUGCCACGUGUCUACAAAUAAAGGAUCAAACGKUCUAGAAUGCAUCGAAAAUCCACGAGAYGGAUCAAACCUUCGAAUUCAUAAUUUUCGUUGUUAAAGGACUGUUAAAAAGAAUAAUCACAUYCUCAAAUAGAAGAUAUGGCCUUUGAACUCUCGUAACUGUAUAAAAGAUGAUCAGUAUUCUGAAAUAUUUUCUUGCUCUUAGGAAAUGACAUUAGGCUCGCAAUUUCGUUAUCGAACAAAUGAUCACUGAUAGUUUUCUAAAUCUACUACUCCAAGUCAAUAUAAAAAUUGGAUAUUAGU